UCAAGAAACUUCCACAAUGGGCGAAAGCCUGAUGGAGCGACGUCGCGUGAUGGACGAAGUGCUUCGGCACGUAAACAUCUUUUAUGUGGGAUGAAAUUAUUGACAGUACCACAUGAAUAAGGGGCUCCUAACUCUGUGCCAGCAGGAGCGGUAAUACAGAGGCCCCAAGCGUUAUCCGGAAUUACUGGGCGUAAAGGGCGCGUAGGCGGCCCUCUAAGUCAGACGUGAAAUCCCCCGGCUUAACCUGGGAACUGCGUCUGAUACUGGAGGGCUUGAGUAUGGGAGAGGGAUGUAGAACGUCCAGGUGUAGCGGUGAAAUGCGUAGAUAUCUGGAGGAAUACCGGUGGCGAAGGCGGCAUCCUGGACCCAUUACUGACGCUGAGGCGCGAAAGCUAGGGGAGCAAACGGGAUUAGAUACCCACGUAGUCCCUG
rnacentral:rRNA from 1 species